rnacentral:rRNA from 2 species
GGGCUUGAUAUCCUAAGAACCUCUUAGAGAUAAGAGGGUGCUAGCUUGCUAGAACUUAGAGACAGGUGCUGCACGGCUGUCGUCAGCUCGUGUCGUGAGAUGUUGGGUUAAGUCCCGCAACGAGCGCAACCCACGUAUUUAGUUGCUAACGGUUCGGCCGAGCACUCUAAAUAGACUGCCUUCGUAAGGAGGAGGAAGGUGUGGACGACGUCAAGUCAUCAUGGCCCUUAUGCCCAGGGCGACACACGUGCUACAAUGGCAUAUACAAUGAGACGCAAUACCGCGAGGUGGAGCAAAUCUAUAAAAUAUGUCCCAGUUCGGAUUGUUCUCUGCAACUCGAGAGCAUGAAGCCGGAAUCGCUAGUAAUCGUAGAUCAGCCAUGCUACGGUGAAUACGUUCCCGGGUCUUGUACUCACCGCCCGUCACACCAUGGGAGUUGAUUUCACUCGAAGCCGGAAUACUAAACUAGUUACCGUCCACAGUGGAAUCAGCGACUGGGGUGAAGUCGUAACAAGGUAACCGUAGGAGAACCUGCGGUUGGAUCACCUCCUUUCUAG